rnacentral:sRNA from 1 species
GCCCGGCCAGAAUUAAAGUUUUCAAAGUUAUUUAUUAAAAAAGAAACUUUUUCCUUCUGCACUCCUACUGCUUCACUUGACUGGGCUCAA